rnacentral:lncRNA from 1 species
AUGCUGUAUUCAGCUGGCUUUGUUCUGCAGGGCUUUCACUGUGGUGAAGGCAGCUCUAAACCUGAGCCCUGCCCAGAGGGCACCUACAGUAACAAGAAGGGGCUGUCUAGGCCAUCAGAGUGCAGCCCGUGUGGCCGUGGUUUCUACUGUGCUGUUCCAGGACAGACUGGGCCAAGCGGUCCCUGCCAGGCUGGGUUCUUCUGCCAGGGCAGGGCUCUGACUCCGUUGCCCACAGAUGGUGUGAUGGGAAACGUGUGUCCCCCUGGUGCAUACUGCCCACCUGGGUCCCCCUUACCUGUCCCUUGUCCUCCAGGAACCUACAGCAACAGGAGUGGGUUGAGAAACCUCCGUCAGUGCUUGGACUGCCCGCCCGGCCUUUAUUGUGAUGGGACAAACAGCCAAGCCCCCUCAGGACCAUGUGAACCUGGCUACUUCUGUACAGGAGGUGCCAAAAACGCUCUUCAGCAGAUGGUCAUGGAGGGGCAUUAUUCCUUAACAGGAGCUUUCAGGCCAGAGCCGUGUCCCCUUGGCAGCUUCCAGCCUGGCCGUGGGCAGUCUGUUUGCAGGGACUGUCCAGAGGGUACAUUCUGCAAUGAGACCGGCCUGGCUGAAGCCCAGCCUUGUCCCAAAGGGCAUUUCUGCUUGGCUGGAAGUUCCCUGCCUCUCCCAUGUCCAGUGGUAAGAAUCCUUUAUGGCUCUGUUCUUCAAGUAGCACUUUUCAGUAGUUUCCAGUCCCUUGGUGAAGGGCAUGCACUACUUCUCUGUCUUUGUGCAGGGAACAUACACGGAUGUACCCAGGGCAGGUUCAUGCAAGCCCUGCCCAGCAGGCACGUACUGCAGCAUGGCUGGGCUGACAGAGCCAGAAGGACGUUGCCAGCCAGGACAUUUCUGCACUCAGGGGUCCAACAGCUCCUCACCUGUGAGUACUGAACACCGUGCAUUGCUGCAGCCCCUUCAGCACUACAAAAGCUUUCAUAAACCAUACUUAUUUCCUUUGCUUUAGGUGGGGCUUUCCUUUGGAGAUCUUUGCCCACCAGGACAUUAUUGCCCUGCUGGCACGACACACCCAAAAGAGAUGCCAUGCCCUGCUGGCACCUGGAACGGACAGAGGGGAGCCCAGGAUGCUACUUGGUGUCUUCCUUGUGCCCCUGGAUUUUUCUGCAGUAUGUCUGGCCAAGAUGCUCCUGGAGGACCUUGUACACAAGGUGAGACAAAACCAGAAGUUCUUUAGCUGCUCAGAAAUAUAUAUAUUUUUUUUUUUGCAUGACACAGAGGACUCAAAUGCUUUCUUCUUUAAGGCUAUUACUGCACGGGAAGGACAAAGACUGCAAAGCCAGAGGAUGGUGUCACUGGAAAUAUCUGUCCUCGAGGACAUUUCUGCCCUGCAGGCUCAGCAGCGCCUUCUCCCUGCCCCAGUGGAGAAUACAGUAAUGCAACAGGUCAGGAACUUGAUCUCUGCAGCUUCAGUGUGACUUGGGAAAGCUCGAUGUGGAUUGUAUCUCCUGUCUAUGUCCAAUAAUGUCUCAAUAGCUGCUGACUGCUAUGAGUUGCUCAGUGUUUUGCUUGGGACAGAGAAGGGGUUUUCUUUUUUUUGUUUUCUUUUGAUUUUUUUUUUGCUUGGUUGGUUUUGUUUUCAU